CUGGACCAGGGAGGUCGGCAACGACCACCCCGGACCGGAAAGUUCGUCAAACUUGGUCAUUUAGAGGAAGUAAAAGUCGUAACAAGGUCUCCGUAGGUGAACCUGCGGAGGGAUCAUU
rnacentral:rRNA from 1 species